rnacentral:rRNA from 1 species
UACGUAGGGUGCGAGCGUUAAUCGGAAUUACUGGGCGUAAAGCGUGCGCAGGCGGUUGGUUAAGUCUGAUGUGAAAGCCCCGGGCUCAACCUGGGAAUGGCAUUGGAAACUGGCUGGCUAGAGUGUGGCAGAGGGGGGUGGAAUUCCGCGUGUAGCAGUGAAAUGCGUAGAGAUGUGGAGGAACACCGAUGGCGAAGGCAGCCCCCUGGGCCAAUACUGACGCUCAGGCACGAAAGCGUGGGGAGCAAACAGG